rfam:Hordeum vulgare subsp. vulgare, WGS project CAJW01000000 data, contig: morex_contig_7836
GAAAUACUCCCUUCGUUUAGAAAUACUUGUUCUACAAAUAGAUGUAUCUGAAUUAAUUUUAGUUAUAGUUACAUUCAUUUUAUUCAUCUUUAAGACAAGUAUUUUCGAACGAAGGAAGUUUAUU